UUCCCAAUUUUACGUCACUUUGAUUUAAUAAUAAACAAAGAAUACGUGGUUUUUUAAAUAAAAUAAAAAAACUUGUUCUAGUUCACUCUAUGUACUUUGACAAUUUGUGGUUCAAAACACGAUAUCGAAAACUUCACUCGAUCAAAAAAAAAGCCGAAAAAUAGACUUAAUCGACAUUUUUUUCUUGUUUUACUCAAAGCUUAUAAAUGUUUUACUACUAAAAACCAUAUCUAAAAAAAGCUAAUAACGUAGAGAAAAUUUAUUUGUGAUUACAUUUUGCAAAAUAGGUUAAUUAUUUUAAUAAUAAAAUAUUAUAUAACACAGCGGCUCGCGUUCGUCACUUCAGUCGCCCGCUAGGCCUUGUCGAGGUGAGACCUGUGUCCCUUUUUCAAGCGCGCGGCUAUCUAUUCGUUUUUGUUAGUGCACAGAAGUAUGGGAAAUAAAAAUAAACACAAGAAAGUAGCCAGGUGCAAAGUCCGGAAGGUUAGACGAGAAAUCAGUGCAUCAAAAACACGACUCAGAGGAAUGUACGUGACAAAAAAAAAUAUACACCAAGAAACAAUGGCAAGCGCCUGUCCAAGUGAAGUUGAUAACACCGACAACUCUCUUGUGACACUUGAUCCUGUUGAUUUGUUGAUCUUGUUGAAAACUGACAUAGAAAUAAAAACACGACAAAGAGCAAAGUAAUAAUUUCUGUGUCUAAGAAGGUAAAACAGAACUAAAAACAUCGACUUCCGAAAUUACUAUUUUACAAUUUGCAGUGUUUAUAUUUUAUGUCGUUUGAUUUUUUUUGUAACAAGUGUUUUUCACUCAACCAUAAACACACCAUACUAAGAAAUGUUAUGUACUGACACCACUUGCCUUCACGCACACAUUCACACCGUGUUUUUACACUCGAUAACCACAACUGAAGCGCGUGAGAUACACUAUAAUAAACUAAAAUGUCGAAUGAUUGAAUAAAAUGUAUGUACAAAACCUAUUCUAAUUCAUUUUCGGCCUUUAAGAUUACUACGUAUGUAAUAAAUCAAGAAUAAUGGAUCAACUCGACUAGUUUAUUAUUUUUUAUAACAAAUUAAUGAAAUAAGUUGACCUACUGCAUAAACGACCCGAUUAUC